UUGCUGUGAUGACUAUCUUAGGACACCUUUGGAAUACCCAUGAAAACAAAAAAAAGUUCCUUCUGAGCAAC
rnacentral:snoRNA from 1 species